AGGGGGAAGGAGGGAGGCAAGCUAGAGAGUGAGAGCGUGAGUGAGAGGGAGAAAUAGAGAGAGAGGCUGCCGCGGCUGACAGGGAAUACUGGUGCCAUUUUCACAUCGCGGGAAGGAUUCAUUCCUGCUCCGCUCGGCUCCUUUGUGGAAGAAGGGAACGAGGGAAGAAGGGAACGAGGGAAGGAGGAAAAAGAGGAGAAGAAAGGAGGCUGACAACUAUAAAACAGAUCCUUUAUUAGACAGUGGCAACGAGGAACACUAAUUUAACCCACACAUUUUCUAGAGGGACGGCUUUAGGCGGAACACAACAGUAUCGUACCACAUGCAUCUGCAAGUUUUUUUCUAUUCAGAAGUUGUAAGAAAUUCCGCACGAAUAUUAUAGUUCAAGCACAAAGAAGGAAAUAAAGAGUUUUCACCAAAAUGAAGAGAAGGACAUCAUGUCCUUCUUCCAAAGAAAAGACAAGGCAGACAGUGAGACAGAGCCAGAUGGUUCAGGUGUGGAGAGAGCAAGAGAGAGCAGAG
rnacentral:lncRNA from 1 species